GCCAGCUGAUGUUGCAAGGUCAUCUCUGAAGCUUCUGGUUUCUUACUUGGCAAUGAGUCAGCUCCUGGGCAAGUUGGGAAAUGCUAAGGCCAAUAAUAUUCCCGAUGCAGCCAGCAGAGGGCACUGGAACUCCAGAAUCUUGGAUUUACAGUCCUUCCUUGUAUGUAACCUGGACUCCUCUACCAUGGAAGAAUGGAGUCUAUUCUAACACAUCCAGAUGUGCGAGGUUGAGGAAGGCUGUUUCAAUUGACGGGACUACAGUCAAGUUUCAUACCUUGUUUUGAUUCCCGUAUUUUCUUCACAAAAGGGAGACUCCCUUGUCUCAAAUAGUCUAAUUUCCUCUGCUAACAUAUCACAAAGUUUGCCAUUGCCCAUUUCAAUUUUCUUUUCACUUCCCAGUUUAGCCAGGGACUUCCUGGUGAUCUUCCAUCCAAAUCAUGCUUGGUUUUUUUUUCUGAGAUCAACUUAGUCAGCUGGGAGUUGAAAUCCACUCUCAAAAUGGAGAAAUAUAAUUUGAUAUACACCCACGGUAUUUUCAACUUUUAAAGUUCCUUUUUACUGAAUCAGAAGCCACUACAGUCAACCAAAAUCAUUGGAUAAUAUUCUUGUCAGUUGUUGGGAAGAACUAAGCUAAGCAUGUUUAAAAGAUUAAAAGAUAAUGUUAUUAAAAUUGGGUCUUGGUUUUUUCUCAAAAUUAUGAUUUAAAAAAACUCCACAGCUUUAUUUUGGGUACUUGCUCCUUCUUACAGAAACAUGCAGACAUGGCAAAAACUUUUUAAAAAUACGCAUACAGAAAAGAGAUGCUACACAAACAAAAAUAUGAAAUAUACCAAAGAACAUACUAACAGUCUUUAUUAUGAUUUGUAUAUUCAGUAGGCAUCAACCAUAACCCCAGGGUUCCUUUUACAUAUCUUUCAGACAUUGCAUUUCAUCUAUUAAACCAGAGCAUCCAGGUUAUUAUUAUGGCACAAACAUCUGUCCAUUUCAUCUCCAGAAUCAGACUGAAGACUGGGAAGAUUAUAAUCAAGUUUCGGAGAACGGCAGCAAAAGGGAAGACCCUACAGAUGUAGAGGAAGGACGGUCCAGUCAAAGCUGCCAUAGAUGCCAAGACUUCAGUGCUUCAAUUUAGGAUCUCUGACCCAGGGGCGGCCAAAAUGUACGUGUGGUUCUCAAACAAAAACAUUUCUCCAGCACAAAGGACAGAGUUAAAGCCUUUCCUUUCAAAGGAAUACAUGCUGCUAGGUAUUGCAGCCGAAAUACAUGCAGCCAUUUUUAAAGUAAAAUCAUCAAAAUGCAAAAUAUGAACUGAUUGAGAAGGAACUAAAAAUGGGAAAUUUAAUAGCUAAUUUUCUUCUCUUUUU